CCGCAACGAGCGCAACCCUCGUCCUUAGUUGCCAUCAUUCAGUUGGGCACUCUAAGGAAACUGCCGGUGAUAAGCCGGAGGAAGGUGGGGAUGACGUCAAGUCCUCAUGGCCCUUACACGCUGGGCUACACACGUGCUACAAUGGCGGUGACAGUGGGCAGCAACCGGGCGACCGGUAGCUAAUCUCCAAAAACCGUCUCAGUUCGGAUUGUUCUCUGCAACUCGAGAGCAUGAAGGCGGAAUCGCUAGUAAUCGCGGAUCAGCAUGCCGCGGUGAAUACGUUCCCAGGCCUUGUACACACCGCCCGUCACAUCCAUGGGAUUUGGAUUCACCCGAAGGCAGUGCGCUAACCGUCAAGGAGGCAGCUGACCACGGUGGGUUUAGAGAUCUGGGGUGAAGUCGUAAUCAAGUAAC
rnacentral:rRNA from 1 species